rnacentral:rRNA from 1 species
UACGUAGGGGCCUAGCGUUGUCCGGAUUUAUUGGGCGUAAAGAGCUCGUAGGCGGUUCGGUAAGUCAGGUGUGAAAUCUCCACGCUCAACGUGGAGGCGCCACCUGAAACUGCCGUGACUCGAGUCCGGUAGGGGAGUGUGGAAUUCCCGGUGUAGCGGUGAAAUGCGCAGAUAUCUGGAGGAACACCGGUGGCGAAGGCGGCAUCCUGGGUCGGUAUUGACGCUGAGGAGCGAAAGCCAGGGGAGCAAACGGG